CACUGACAUUAGAUACCCGGGUAGUCCCAGCCGUAAACAAUGUGCGUUAGGUGUGUCGGUAACCACGUGUUACUGAUGCGCCGAAGAGAAAUCGUGAAACGCACCACCUGGGAAGUACGGUCGCAAGGCUGAAACUUAAAGGAAUUGGCGGGGGAGCACCACAACAGGUGGAGCCUGCGGUUUAAUUGGAUUCAACGCCGGACAUCUCACCGGAUAAGACAGCUGAAUGAUUGUCAAUCUGAAGGUUUUACAUGACUAGCUG
rnacentral:rRNA from 1 species